GCAGACACAUUCCAGCCAAUCAGCAGCAGACCCUCCCUCCCACCCUCCCACCUCCUGGACAGCAUCCAUUUUGAAGCUGCAUUCUUAGUGAGCUGUCCAGGAGGUGGGAGGGUCUGGGAGGGAGGGUCUGCUGCUGAUUGGCUGGAAUGUGUCUG